rnacentral:lncRNA from 1 species
CACUAUUAAGAUGACAGUGUAGUGGAGAGAGGCAUCAGAGUCCCUCUGUGGUAAAUACUCAGUGGUAAAUCAGCCCCCUGAGAUAUUCAGCCCCCUCUCCCUGGUGUCAGGAGUGAGCUCUAUAGUCUAAAAGAAUGUGUGUAGACCUGCCCCAUUUGGAAAGCAGUGUCCCCUUAGAGACCAGAGGUGAUUCUCCUGGAACCCAACAGAGCCCCACGCCUUUGUCUUGUCUGAUUCAUCAGGAAGGUGUCCCAGGUUCAAUAACAGGCAGGCUGGAGCUGCAAACUCCAAGAGAGUCAUCUUGGAAGGGAGUGAGGGAGAAACAGCAAGACUGGAACCAAGCUCACAAAGGGCCCAGUGGGUAGGAUGGGGAUAACAAGGAUUUGGGGCAAAGGAGAAUUUGGGGAAGGAGAGAACAAGUCAUCCCAAAUCUGAGCUGCGUCUGUGAACUAUACCACAGUUCAUGGCAACGCCGGAUCCUUAACCCCUGAGCGAGGCCAGGGAUUGAACCCACAACCUCAUGGUUCCUAGUCAGAUUCGUUUCCACAGCGCCACGAUGGGAACUCUGAGAGAUCAUUAUUUUAAUUCAAGUGAGAAGUCUUACCUGCCUAGGGAGGUCUUUGAGCCUUGAUGUCAUGACCUGGAGAUGGACCUUGCCCUUGGUCCUGUUCUGGCAUUUUGUAUUUGAGUGACUUUGACCAGAGCCUUCAUUUUGGUGAACCCAGCUCCCUUCUCUGUGAAGAGUGAGUUGAAUAACUUGAUCUUUUAGGUUCCUUCUAACUGACAUUUUGUAGCACUUAGUUUCAGAUUCUCAACCUCCCUUUCUUACCUAUUCUUUAUUUAUUUAUUUUUUUUGGAAACACUAAGAUCUGCCUUACGAAAUCGCCCAGGAAGCCUAUUAAAAAAUCCUCCUUUGGGACAGGUCCCAGGAACAUCUGUCAAUUUAACAAGCUCAGUAGGUGAUUUUUUAUGAUCACACAACAAUUAGCCUAUGCUGCCUGAAAAUAUAACCUCAUAAAGCAGCUGAUGAAAACUGAACAUACUUCAAUCCUUAAAGGCAUAUCUUUAAGCUCUAAUAAAAGCCAAGGUCUGUGCUAGCAGAAUGAAGCCAAGAAUUUGGAGAAGCAUGAUGAUAAAGACCAGCCUGAGAAUGGCCAUGAACCAAUCUGUGCCUGGACCAUGGGGUUCAUGAGGGUGCUUAUUCCACAAACAUGACCUUGGAGUGUGCCCAUUGUUGACCUGACCUCCUCACCACCCAUGCUGCAGGCCAUGUGGCCUUUGGUUUAGGCUACAAGGCAUGUGUGUUGAGUUGCUUUUCAGGAGCAAUAGAGAAUUUGUGCAAAGUCACCUCCAUCCCAUAUCACCUGUGGAAAGUCAGCUGGCUGGGAUCUGAGUACCCUCUGCAGGCAUGACUAGAACAAUACCAAGUGAUCCACCAUAAAUUAGACCCUUGGCCAUGGCUGCUCAAAAACAGAGCUCUGCAGUGGCUGGUUCCCAGAAGGGCAAAGCAGGGUAUAGAGCAGAAGCUCCUAUGCCCUUUGACAUGCCUCCAUCAUGGAGUGCAUUCACAUGUAAUGGUGUACAUGCUUGUGGGUGUACUAUAUUCCAGCACUAUGAAGUGUUCUUUUGGCAUAUACAAUGCCUCAGCUCUAGAAUCAACUAUAUAUCUAAGGAAACUUGAUUCUUUUUAUUAUAAAAUGCUAUUAGAAACCAAGUUGUAUGAGUUGUGAGUGCCUGUUGCUAUGGGAUGCCAUUGCUUCUAAGCCCUCUCAAGUGACAGAGCAAAGAAAUGCAUGUGAGUAUACCGAUACCAAAUACAUUUGACCCUUGAACAAUGCAGGUGUAAGGGUACCAACCCCCCAAGGCAUAAAAAAUGCAUAUAUAACUUUAAAAUUGACCCUCCAUAUUCAUGAUUCCACAUCUGCAUGUUCAACCAAUCAUGGGUUGGGUGGUUCUGUAGUACAUAUUAAUUUUUUUAAAUUGUAUAUAAGUGGACUAUAUAGUUCAAAUCCAUCAAUUGUAUAUAUACAUAUAUCUAUAACCAUUUCUGUGUGUAUCCUCCUCUAUCUAUAUUAAGGCAGCAUGAGUUAAUAUUUAUAUCUCCAACUUUAAUCCAGUACCAUAUGGAUUUCUAUCUUCCCCCACCUCCCGCAUCAGGUUAAGAACCUGGUUAAUUUUCAAUCCCAGUGCACAUAUGCAGUGGUUUUAGAAUUGUUAACCAACGACUGUGGGAAGCAACUUUUAAAGCUAGAGCACAGUGCUUUUGAACAGAUCCUUGCACCUUUAAUCUUACAGUCCACAUUCACUUCUAAAGUUAUUUAGGUCAGCACCUUUUCCCCCAUCCUGUUCAGUGAAGUUAUUUCAUAUAUUUUUAAUACAGUUAUAUUAGUCACAUUUUUUUGUCAGUGUACAGUUCAUCCUGGCAUUUAUGGACCUUGUAGGGUUUUUUUAAUUUGCAUACAUUUAAUUCCAGUUUUUACUCUGUCAGGUUCCAUGGGUUUUGGCAAAUGCAGAGUGCUGUAUACUCAUCAUUACAGUAUCAUAAAGAAUAGUUUCGGAGUUCCCGUCGUGGCGCAGUGGUUAACGAAUCUGACUAGGAACCAUGAGGUUGUGGGUUCGGUCCCUGCCCUUGCUCAGUGCGUUAACGAUCCGGNNNNNNNNNNNNNNNNNNNNNNNNNNNNNNNNNNNNNNNNNNNNNNNNNNNNNNNNNNNNNNNNNNNNNNNNNNNNNNNNNNNNNNNNNNNNNNNNNNNNNNNNNNNNNNNNNNNAAAAAAAAAAAAAAAAAAAAAAAAAAAAAAAAAAAAAAAAGAAUAGUUUCACCACUAUAAAAGUUAUCUUAUGCUUCACCUAUUCUAUCCUCCUUUGUCCCCAAACUUCUGGUAGCGACUGAUCUGUUUACCAACUCUAUCAUUUAGUCCAUUCCAGAAUGUCGUAAAAAUAAAGAAUUUCAAAUAAUGGAGAGAAAUCGUGCCAGAGCAUGGAUUAUACCCAGAGCCUUACCCAUACUUGACUUAGAUGAUUUAGAUGAGGAGAUGUGUGAGGUUUGAUUUGAUAAAAAAAAAAAUUAGAUGAAAGUUUGGGCUUGGGUUGGGUUGGAUUGAGACAGUGGAGAUAUUAGGAUGUGGCAAAUAUAUUUUGCAUGUGGGAUAGAGAUGCUUUGGGGCCAGAGGGUAGACUGAUAGGUAAAAUAAUAUCUCACAAAGAUCCUGGAAUCUGUAAAUAUGCCACCUUACAUUGAAUAAGGGACUUUGUAGAUGUGAUUAAGUUGAGGAUCUCAAGGUGGAGUGAUUAUUAUGGGUUAUCAGAAUAUCAGGGUGGCCCAGUGUGAUCACAGUGGUUCUUAUAAGUGGAAGGAGACAGGGUGGAUAGAUCAGACUGAUGUGAUAUGAGAAAGACUCACCUAACCAUUGCUAGCUUUGAAGAUAGAAAAGGGCCAUAAGCCAAGGAAUCUGGGCAGCCUAGAAAGCUGGAAAAUGAAAAAAUAAAUAAGAGAAUUCUCCCCGAAAGCUUCCAGAAAGGAAUGAAGCCCUGACAACACCUUGAUUUUAUCCCAGUGAGAAUUCUCUUGGAUUUCUAACAUCCAAAACUGUAAAAUAAUGAAUGUGUGUCUUAAGCCACAACUUUGUGGUAAUUUGCUACAACAGCAAUAGGAAACUAAUACAAAAGUUAUGAUUUGUUUGAGUGAAAUCUCGUGUAAGUGGUUAAGUGUGUGUCCACAUCCAUAAUUUACAUAGAGAUAUUUGAUCCAAUACCAUUUGUUGAAAAACUGCUCUUUUUUCUCAGAUUGCGUUUGUCAAGGAAUGGUCAACUAUAUAUAUGUAUUAGGUCUAUUCCUGGGCUCUCUAUUAAAUUCUGUUGAUCUCUGUGUCUAUCGUUUUGCCAGCAUUCAAUUGUUUUGAAAGCUUAGCUUUUUAGUAAGGAUGGAAGAACACCAGUGUUGCUCUUCUUUAAUAUUGUGUUGGCCAUUCUAAAUCCUUUGUCUUUCUAUA